rnacentral:rRNA from 1 species
GACGAACGCUGGCGGCGUGCUUAACACAUGCAAGUCGAACGAAGUGGCGAACGGGUGAGUAACGCGUAAUCAACCUGCCCUUCAGAGGGGGACAACAGUUGGAAACGACUGCUAAUACCGCAUACUGAAGGCGGGGAUUGCGGCUGAUUAGCUAGUUGGAGGGGUAACGGCCCACCAAGGCGAAGAUCAGUAGCCGGUCUGAGAGGAUGAACGGCCAAAAUUGGACUGAGGACCGGGCCAAGACCCUUAGGGAGGGAACAGUUGGGAAUUUUCCGACAAGGAAGGAAGUCUGACGGAACAACGCCGCGUGGGUGAUGACGGCCUUCGGGUUGUAAAGCUCUGUUAAUCGGGACGCGGUACCGGAAUAGAAAGCCACGGCUAACUACGUGCCAGCAGCCGCGGUAAUUC